rnacentral:misc_RNA from 1 species
GAUGAAGAACGUAGUGAAAUGCGAUAAGUAAUGUGAAUUGCAGAAUUCAGUGAAUCAUCGAAUCUUUGAACGCACCUUGCGCCUUUUGGUAUUCCGAAAGGCACACCUGUUUGAGCGUCAUGAAUACCUCAAUCUCCAUCUUUUCUUCGGAUUGAUGGGUGACUUGGAUGUUGAGCCCUGCUGGAAUGCUAUAUCAGCUGGCUUUAAACUUAUUAGCCGGCUCUGUACUGGAUCGGUUUGACUCGACGUGAUAAUAUUAUCGUUGAGGAUGCAUGUCUCAUGCAGCCGGAAAGUAUCAAAGCAGCUUCUAGCUUGCCUUUAGUGCACUUUUACAUUUUAGACCUCAGAUCAGGUGGGACUACCCGCUGAACUUAAGCAUAUCAAUAAGCGGAGGA